rnacentral:tRNA from 1 species
GCGGGGGUGGCAGAGCUGGUCAAUUUGGUGUUCAAGGUUUUUACUACAAUCUAAACAUUGGAUAUCAGACCAGAUGCGCAGGACUCAGAAUCCUGUCUCUUAGUGAGUGCGCGUGUUCAAAUCACGUCCCCCGCA